UGCCCUUUUUCUGAUUUUUUUUUUCUUUUUCAUGUUUAGCAAAAGUAUCCUGGCAUGAAAGGAGGUGGAGUCCUGAAAAGAGACCCAGGUGGUACAUGUGACUACUACAAAUGCAGGAGAUUUUCUCCUGGACAUGAGAAGAAGCAAAUGAUACCGGGGUCCAAGAAGUCUGCCUUAUAGAAAUGAGUUGCUUCUGAGGACGACAGCAUUAAUUUCCUUUGAAAUUGUGUAAUAUAAAUGCUGUUAAAGAUGAUGCCUGUGGGGUUGUUUCCUAACAAACUUCAACAUGGAAAAAGAAACCAUUUGGAAUCUCUGACUUUGAAGUUUACUAGGUACAUCUUCAGCCUCUACCAUGCACUGGCUCAAAGACACUGCAAACACAAGUGAGUGAACGUGACUGUAAUAUGCUGUAAUGUAAAUAUAUUCCUUGCAACACUAAAAGUUCUCUGUAACCUGGUUAGCCAAGGUGCAAUAAAGAAUAAACAUCUGUUGUCAUCUUCACA